GUCAAGAUCAGAACUGGGGAGCCUGGGUGUAAAUCGCUGCUGGGCCACUUACCAGCCAUGGAAGGACUUGUGGCAAUUUUAGCUUCCAAGGCACUGGGAGGACAGAAAACAGAACUGAAUCCAAGGGAAGGAAGCACAGGGAGAGAUGACAUCAGGCACCUGAGCUCAGCAGAUCAGACCCUAAGCCCAGGAAUCUGCAGUGGGAGUUCUGCCCACCCAGGUCCCAGUGACCUGCCGAGUGGGAAGAGCCGUGGCUGGCCGGCCUCCCAGUGGCGACGACGACCUCGCUGUGCUUGUGGCAGCGGCACUCUCAAAUCUGGGCACGGUGAUGGGAAGGUUAUUUGUUGGAAUCCCUUUGCCUUUCCAAGGGAAAAUAAACACAAAAAGUGAGAA